rnacentral:rRNA from 1 species
GUACGCUGGCGGCACGCCUAACACAUGCAAGUCGAACGCAGUAGCAAUACUGAGUGGCAAACGGGUGAGUAUAAUGUGGGAAUCUGCCUUUUGGUUUGGAAUAACACGGGGAAACUUGUGCUAAUACCGAAUAAGCCCUUACGGGGAAAGUUUUAACGCCGAAAGAUGAGCCCGCACUUGAUUAGCUAGUUGGUAAGGUAAAAGCUUACCAAGGCAACGAUCAAUAGCUGUUCUUAGAGGAAGACCAGCCACAUUGGGACUGAGACACGGCCCAGACUCCUACGGGAGGCAGCAGUGGGGAAUCUUGCACAAUGGGGGAAACCCUGAUGCAGCGAUGCCGCGUGAGUGAAGAAGGCCUUUGGGUUGUAAAGCUCUUUCGUCGGGGAAGAAAAUGACUGUACCCGAAUAAGAAGGUCCGGC